ACGGGAGGCAGCAGUGGGGAAUAUUGGGCAAUGGGCGCAAGCCUGACCCAGCAACGCCGCGUGAAGGAAGAAGGCUUUCGGGUUGUAAACUUCUUUUACCAGGGACGAAGGACGUGACGGUACCUGGAGAAAAAGCCACGGCUAACUACGUGCCAGCAGCCGCGGUAAUACGAGGGGUGCAAGCGUUGUUCGGAAUCACUGGGCGUAAAGGGAGCGCAGGCGGAGAUGCAAGCAGUCUGUACAAUACCGGGGCCCAACCCCGGACCUGCAGACUGGACUGUUUCUCUUGGAUAGUUCAGGGGCAAGCGGAAUUCCUGGUGUAGCGGUGGAAUGCGUAGAGAUCAGGAAGAACACCGAUGGCGAAGGCAGCUUGCUGGGGACUUAUCGACGCUCAUGCUCGAAAGUGCGGGUAGCAAACAGGAUUAGAUACCCUGGUA
rnacentral:rRNA from 1 species